CGACUUCCACGCAGGCUGGGGGAAGCUGGACGCACCGCACAGAAGCUCACGCUAUACACGCUGGUGUGGAUGUUCCUCCUGCAGGCAAGAGGUAGUCAUUCUGAGCAAGGUUCUGUCAGAGCUUUCAGCGUGUAUCCUGCCGUGAACG